rnacentral:lncRNA from 1 species
GAAGGAACCAGUCUAGUUUACACUGGAAACGAGAUGCUUCGCAGGAGUUUCUCCUGUCCUUUGGGCGCAAACUGGCAUCGACCACGGGAGUCGCCCGCGCGGGCCAUGCACGACCUCGGACAGAACGCGUGGCACGCGAAGCUGCCGGAGCGAGGCCAGCAACAGUUUCACGGGAAACAUGAAAACAGCUUUGAGCAUGAAGAGGGUAAAGUAUCAGACAGUCAGCAGGACUACACCAGAGAGGAGGAGUACAUCUUAAACUUCCCUGAUUUAAAUCGCCUGAAGAAGAUGAACGAGGACUUGCAGAAGUCCUUGGACAUAGCUGAGGAUUUCAACACCUGUCUGCGCUCAGAAAACAUGGAGCUGAAAAACCAAGUUCGAAGUAUGAAGCAGUCCAUGCAGGAGGCAGAACAGCUCACAGAUGAGCUGGAGGUUAUGCGGAGCUGCUUGGAAGAACGAGCAGCUGUCAUCACCAAGCUUGAAGCCUAUGUAAAAUUGUUGGAAAAAGAAACCAAAGCACUGAGGGAACAACAUGAAUUGUUUUCUAGUGAGAUUUGCAGUAUUUUGCCAGAGCGAGAGAUGGACAAGAAGAAGAUAUUUGGACUCAUUAGUCACCUACACAGUUUACAGCAACAAAUGGAUGAAACCACACUGGCUCUUGAACAGAAAGAUGAACUCAUUCAGAAGAAAGAUGUUCUAAUUGAACACCUAGAGAGCUCCCUAGCUGAACACUCCUCAAUCACGAAGGAUCUGAAAGAGAAGAUUAAGGAUCUUGAGUAUCAACUGACAGAGGCUCAAAUCCACUCAAGCGGCGGAGGUUUCCAGUUCUUUGAUGGAACCUUCUCUCCGCCAGUUACAUGUUGUGUAUCCCUAGCCGAAGAACUGCAGCUGUGGCCUCCCCUCAGGGAUCAUCAGGGGGAUAUUUUUACUAAGGAAUGCACAGAAGACACUGAGAAGAUGCUGAGAGCACACAUUCUUCCCAGUUCUCCAACAGGAAGGCUGAUUAGCUGGCAGGUGUGGUGCUGUGAGAGAAUGAAGACUGUGGUUUGGGCUACAGGUGUGAUCUGCUUGUGUUUCCUGGUGCUCCUCACACUGCUGUGGACCUUGAUUCCCAUUCCCUGUAGCACUAAAGGCCUGACCUGCGCUGAUGUCGUCUACUGUUUGGUUCAGUCAUACCGCUCUGUGUACCACUUUGGUCUCAAGCCUUUUUAAAGCAGCCUCUGUGCAGUUCUUCAUGUGUUAGUGAAAUUUUAAUUAAACUUGUGUUUUGUCAUUAAUGUUUCUUUUAUUCAUCC